rnacentral:rRNA from 1 species
CUCUUUUUGAUUAUAAUUUAAAGUAGGGCCUGCCCACUGAAUUUUGAAGGGCCGCAGUAUUUUGACUGUGCAAAGGUAGCAUAAUCAUUAGUUUUUUAAUUGAAAGCUAGAAUGAAUGGUUUGAUGAAAAAAUGGCUGUUUUAGUUUUAAUUUAUUGAAUUUUAUUUUUAAGUAAAAAAGCUUAAAUUUAAUUUAAAGACGAGAAGACCCUAUAGAGUUUUACUGAAUUAAAAAUUAAAUUCUAAGAAUUUUAAAAUUUAGUUUUAAAUUAAGUUGUGUUGGGGUGACAAAAAAAUUAAAUUAACUUUUUUUAUAUAAAUACAAUAAUAAUUGAAUUUUUGAUCCAUAUAAAUGAUUAAAAGAAUAAAUUACCUUAGGGAUAACAGCGUAAUCUUUUUUGAGAGUUCUUAUUGAAAAAAGGGGUUGCGACCUCGAUGUUGGAUUAAAAUUAAUUUUUGGUGCAGAAGCUAAAAAAUUGGGUCUGUUCGACCUUUAAAAUUUUACAUGAUCUGAGUUUAAACCGGUGUGAGCCAGGUUGGUUUCUAUCUUAAAUUUUUAUAAUAUUUUAGUACGAAAGGAUUGAAUAUUAUAUUAAUAAUAUAUUUUAUAGAAUUUUAUUUUGGCAGAUUAGUGCGAAGGAUUUAGAAUCUUUUUAUGUAAGAAUUUACAGAUAAAAAUUGAUUUAGUUUUAAUUUUUUUUAGUUUAAUUUUUUUAAUUAUUGGGAUUUUAGUAGGGGUUGCAUUUUUAACUUUAUUAGAGCGAAAAUUAUU